rnacentral:ncRNA from 1 species
CGACCCCAGGUCAGGCGGCAUUACCCGCUGAGUUUAAGCAUAUCAAUAAUUAGAGGAAAAGAAACUUACAAGGAUUCCCCUAAUAACGGCAAGCAAACCGGGAACAACCCAACCUUAGAAUCGAGCGUCUCUGUCGUCCGAAUUGUAGUAUGAAGAAGCGUUCUCAGCGGCGGAUCAGGCCCAAGUCCCCUGGAAGGGGGCACCGAACAGGGUGAGAUCCCUGUCGUGACCGAACCCUAUCGCACCACGAGGCUCUGUCUAUGAGUUGGGUUGUUUGGAAAUGCAGCCCAAAACGGGGGGUAAAUUCUGUCCAAGGCUAAAUACUUGCGAGAGAACGAUAGCGAACAACUAUCGCAAGGGAAAGAUGAAAAGAAAUUUGAAAAGAGAGUCAAAGAGUACUUGAAAUUAUCGGGAGGGAAGCGGAUGGGGGCCGGCGAUGCGCCCUGAUAGGAUGUGGAAAGGUGACGAGUCGGUCCGCCGAUUGACUCGGGGCGUGGACCAACGUGGAUUGGUGGGGAGGACAAAUCCCGGGCUCUCAAUAUGACCAUGGAAUCCCGUCUCCCCGAUUGUGGAAGGCAGCGCGCGCCUCCGGGGUGCUUCGGCAUCUGUGCGCUUCAGACGCUGGCUUAUGGGCUCCCCAUUCGACCCGUCUUGAAACACGGACCAAGGAAUCUGACAUGUGUGCGAGUAAACGGUCGAGUAAACCCGUAAGGCGUAAGGAAGCUGAUUGGUGGGAUCCCCCUGAGGGGUGCACCACCGACUGACCUUGAUCUUCUGAGAAGGAUUCGAGUGUGAGCAUACCUGUCGGGACCCGAAAGAUGGUGAACUAUGCCUGAGCGGGGUGAAGCCAGAGGAAACUCUGGUGGAGUCCCGCAACGAUACUGACGUGCAAAUCGAUCAUCUGACUUGGGUAUUGGGGCGAAUGACUAAUCGAACCGUCUAGUAGCUGGUUUCGUCCGAAGUUUCCCUGAGUAUAGCUGGAGCUCGCGUGCGAGUUCUAUCGGGUAAAGCCAAUGAUUAGAGGCCUCGGCGGCGCAACGCCCUCGACCUACUCUCAAACUUUAAAUAGGUAGGACGGUGCGACGACUUUGUUGAGCCGCGCCACGGAAUAAAGAGCUCCAAGUGGGCCAUUUUUGGUAAGCAGAACUGGUGAUGCAGGCUGAAUCGGAAGCCGGGUUAGAGUGCCAAACUGCGCGCUAAACUAGAUCCCACAAAGGGUGUUGGUGAAUUAAGGCAGGAGGACGGUGGUCAUGGAAGUCGAAAUCCGCUAAGGAGUGUGUAACAACUCGCCUGCAGAAUCAACUAGCCCCGAAUAUGGAUGGAGCUUAAGCGCGCGAUGUACACCCGGUCGUCAGGGCAAGUGCCUGGUCCCGAUGAAUAGGAGGGUGCGGCGGGUUGGCCGUCGUCGGGCGUGGCAUGCCAUCAUAUCCCUUGGACAGCACACACGGUCAAACGACGUC